rnacentral:rRNA from 1 species
AUUGAACGCUGGCGGCAGGCCUAACACAUGCAAGUCGAGCGGAUGAGAGGAGCUUGCUCCUUGAUUUAGCGGCGGACGGGUGAGUAAUGCCUAGGAAUCUGCCUGGUAGUGGGGGAUAACGUUCCGAAAGGAACGCUAAUACCGCAUCCGUCCUACGGGAGAAAGCAGGGGACCUUCGGGCCUUGCGCUAUUAGAUGACCCUAGGUCGGAUUAGCUAGUUGGUGAGGUAAUGGCUCACCAAGGCGACGUUCCGUAACUGGUCUGAGAGGAUGAUCAGUCACACUGGAACUGAGACACGGUCCAGACUCCUACGGGAGGCAGCAGUGGGGAAUAUUGGACAAAGGGCGAAAGCCUGAUCCAGCCAUGCCGCGUGUGUGAAGAAGGUCUUCGGAUUGUAAAGCACUUUAAGUUGGGAGGAAGGGCAGUAAGCUAAUACCUUGCUGUUUUGACGUUACCGACAGAAUAAGCACCGGCUAACUUCGUG